GUAGCUCAGUGGUAGAGCGCUUGCCUAGCACAGGAGGCCCUGAGUUCAAGUCUCAGC
rnacentral:tRNA from 1 species